AAAUUUUGGGGUAUGACAACAUUCUAAUGAUGAACAAUGACUAACAUAAAUGAUACAAUGCAAAAAAUUAAAGAGAUAAGGAGAGAAAAAAAUUGUACACCAGAUAUAUAGUGGUUCGACAAUUCGUCUUUGCUAUGCCUACAUCACUCUUCAAUGAUUUUCACCAUAAAAAACGGCAACGUCUUCCGCUAUGAUUAAAGUUAAAGAUAUAAGUAUUUAGGUACAACAAAUUAUUAUCGAACUGAAACCUAAUGCUUUAUCUAACAGGGAUCUAAAACAAUAAUUCUUCCUGUUGAUGCAUAUUACUCAACUACUAACAUUCAAUAUCCUCAAUAAACUUGAUCUAACAAAUUUAAUAGACCUAAUAACCUACUCCAAGCUU
rnacentral:lncRNA from 1 species